rnacentral:rRNA from 1 species
UACAUGGGGUGCAAACGUUGCUCGGAAUUAUUGGGCGUAAAGCGCACGUAGGUGGUCUGUUAUGUCAGAUGUGAAAGCCCUCGGCUUAACUGAGGAAGUGCACCUGAAACUGGCAGGCUUGAGUACGAAAGAGGGUCGCGGAAUUCCCGGUGUAGAGGUGAAAUGCGUAGAUAUCGGUAGGAACACCAGUGGCGAAGGCGGUCUCCUGGGGCAUUCUUGACGCUGAAGCGCGAAAGCUGGGGGGAGCGAACGGG